UCACUUCCCGUGGACGCCGGAUGAAAAGGCGGCCUUGAAUGUUUCCUACGGCUGCCGGCGUCAUGGGAUGCGUGGACGGCAGCGACGCAGCGUUGCCGUCAUCAUUGCACCGAAGGGUGACCAUCACAAGGCGGCAUUUUAUCCCCGCAAAGGACAUUAUGCCCACAUCGUCAUGCUAAUCUGCGACGCAGACAUCGGAAUCCUGCCGUGAACCACUGAGUCUGGGAUCAGACUACGACGCCCACGUCUGGCGGACAACGCGGCUGCGUGAGCGCAUCGAAGGGGCCCGGAUUGCCGCGGCCGUACCUUCUGGCUUCUAGGUGACAGAGGCUACAAACCAGGACCAUGGCUCCCGACACCUCUCCGAGGCUGUCCUCUCAGAAA